rnacentral:rRNA from 1 species
UACGAAGGGGGCGAGCGUUGUUCGGAUUUACUGGGCGUAAAGGGCGCGCAGGCGGCGCAUCAAGUCAGGCGUGAAAGCCCCGGGCUUAACCUGGGAACUGCGUCUGGGACUGGUGGGCUAGAGAUCGGGAGAGGAGAGUGGAAUUCCCAGUGUAGAGGUGAAAUUCGUAGAUAUUGGGGAAGAACACCAGUGGCGAAGGCGGCUCUCUGGGACGGUACUGACACUGAGACGCGAAAGCGUGGGGAGCGAACAGG